CGUUCCUAGUACCCAGUAUGUCCGCUCAACUGUUUCAACCGUAAGCCCCUUUUGUACAAGAAAUUGUUGUAAGUUAAAGUAUAAAUUUAGCGAAGCAUGCGUCAACAAAGCGUACAUGUUUGCCACUUAAAACACCUUGAUGCUGAUUCCAUGAGCUGGCAGCACCACCUAGAUUAUUGGCUCGGGCCCCUGUCGGGCUCGAUCUGCGGUAGGGUCGGGCCGGGCAAGGUACGCCGCCACCUGUGCCUACAACGGGCGCGGAAACGAGCACCUCAAUAAUGUCUACAACCACCACGGCAACCACUACAACCAGGGCAACAACGACGACCAGGCAAACCACGACAACUAAGACAACGACUACCAGGACAACCACGACAAGCAAGGCAACCACGACAACCAGGGCAACAACGACGACCAGGCCAACCACGACGACUAAGACAACAACGACUACCAGGGCAACCACGACAAGCAGGGCAACAACGACGACCAGGCCAACCACGACGACUAAGACAACAACGACUACUAGGGCAACCACGACGAGCACUAGUACCACUACGAUUGCUACAACGACUAGUACUUCAACGACAACUCCCUACCCUGCAUGUAAGAUAUGUUUGAUUGCCGUAGGGCAAGAAACGCGCCUGUAGGUGAUUGACAGGGGUUAAAAGGCGUCGUGUACUAUAUCAGUCUUUCCAACAGGAAAUUUAGGGGAGAUAGAAAAAAAAGAAAACUACGCCCUUGCGCGGAACACGCAACACAGUCGCAGCUUGAGCUGGAGGAGUGGGCUU
rnacentral:lncRNA from 1 species